GUGCUCGCUUCGGUGCCACAUAUACUAAAAUUGGAACCAUACAGAGAAGAUUAGCAUUGCCCCUGCGCAAGGAUGACACACAAAUUCAUGAAGCGUUCCAUAUUUUU
rnacentral:snRNA from 1 species